GGUCUAUUAGUCUAGUUGGUUAGAACGUCGGAUUCUGAUUCACAUCGGAUUUUCCGUAAGCCCAGGUUCGAAUCCUGGAUGGACCU
rnacentral:tRNA from 1 species